CUAGCCCCGAUAGCAGUGGAUAUCCUUUUUUGUUUUUGAAAAUGCCUCUCGUGUAAUGCAUUGGGCGAAAAACAAAAAAGAUUGGAACGUAUAGCGGGAU
rnacentral:sRNA from 1 species